rnacentral:rRNA from 1 species
GAUCCUGGCUCAGGAUGAACGCUGGCGGCGUGCCUAAUACAUGCAAGUCGAGCGAACAGACGAGGAGCUUGCUCCUUUGACGUUAGCGGCGGACGGGUGAGUAACACGUAGGUAACCUACCUAUAAGACUGGGAUAACUUCGGGAAACCGGAGCUAAUACCGGAUAAUAUUUCGAACCGCAUGGUUCGAUAGUGAAAGAUGGCUUUGCUAUCACUUAUAGAUGGACCUGCGCCGUAUUAG